rnacentral:rRNA from 1 species
CCUACGGGAGGCAGCAGUGGGGAAUAUUGCACAAUGGGCGAAAGCCUGAUGCAGCAACGCCGCGUGAGGGAAGACGGUUUUCGGAUUGUAAACCUCUGUCUUUGGUGACGAAAAAUGACGGUAACCAAGGAGGAAGCCACGGCUAACUACGUGCCAGCAGCCGCGGUAAU